AACGAACGCUGGCGGCAGGCUUAACACAUGCAAGUCGAGCGCCCCGCAAGGGGAGCGGCAGACGGGUGAGUAACACGUGGGAAUCUACCCAUCCCUGCGGAACAACUCCGGGAAACUGGAGCUAAUACCGCAUACGCCCUUUGGGGGAAAGAUUUAUCGGGGAUGGAUGAGCCCGCGUUGGAUUAGCUAGUUGGUGGGGUAAAGGCCUACCAAGGCGACGAUCCAUAGCUGGUCUGAGAGGAUGACCAGCCACACUGGGACUGAGACACGGCCCAGACUACCACGGGAGGCAGCAGUGGGGAAUAUUGGAAAAGGGGCGAAAGGCUGCUCCAGCCAUGCCGCGUGGGUGAAGAAGGCCCUAGGGUUGUAAACCCCUUUCAGCGGGGAAGAUAAUGACGGUACCCGCAGAAGAAGCCCCGGCUAACUCCGUGCCAGCCGCCGCUGUAA
rnacentral:rRNA from 1 species